AUUGAACGCUGGCGGCAGGCCUAACACAUGCAAGUCGAGCGGAUGAAGGGAGCUUGCUCCUGGAUUCAGCGGCGGACGGGUGAGUAAUGCCUAGGAAUCUGCCUGGUAGUGGGGGAUAACGUCCGGAAACGGGCGCUAAUACCGCAUACGUCCUGAGGGAGAAAGUGGGGGAUCUUCGGACCUCACGCUAUCAGAUGAGCCUAGGUCGGAUUAGCUAGUUGGUGGGGUAAAGGCCUACCAAGGCGACGAUCCGUAACUGGUCUGAGAGGAUGAUCAGUCACACUGGAACUGAGACACGGUCCAGACUCCUACAGGAGGCAGCAGUGGGGAAUAUUGGACACUAGGCGAAAGACUGAUCCAGCGAUGCGGCGUGUGUGAAGAAGGUCUUCGGAUUGUAAAGCACUUUAAGUUGGGAGGAAGGGCAGUAAGUUAAUACCUUGCUGUUUUGACGUUACCAACAGAAUAAGCACCGGCUAACUUCGUG
rnacentral:rRNA from 1 species